rnacentral:rRNA from 1 species
GUUGAUCCUGCGGGAGGUUGCUGCUAUCUGGAUUCGAUUUAGCCAUGCAAGUCUAGGGGUUCUUCGGAACACCGGCGGAAUGCUCAGUAACACGUCGAUAACCUGCCCUUAUGUCUGGGAUAACCUUGGGAAACUGAGGCUAACACCGGAUAGGAGAUUGAUACUGGAAUGUACUUUCUCUGAAAGGCAACGCAUAAAGAUGGGACGGCGGCGGAUUAGGCAGUUGGUGGGGUAAUGGCCCACCAAACCGAAAAUCCGUAGGGGCCUUGAGAGAGGUAGCCCCGAGAAGGACACUGAGAUACUGGUCCUAGCCCUACGGGGUGCAGCAGGCGCGAAACCUUUACAAUGCACGAAAGUGUGAUAGGGGAAUCCAGAGUGCUUAUACUUUGUAUAGGCUUUUGCCAAAGGCAAACACUUUGGCGAAUAAGUGGUGGGUAAGACUGGUGCCAGCAGCCGCGGUAACACCAGCGCCACAAGUGGGGACCACAUUUAUUGGGUCUAAAGCGUUCGUAGCCGGUUUAGUAAAUCUUCUGUGAAAUUGUUGGGCUCAACCCAACAGCGUGCAGGAGACACUGCUAAGCUUGAGACCGGGAGGAGUUAGGAGUAUGCAUGGGGGAGCGGUAAAAUGCUAUAAUCCCUUGUGGACUACCAGUGGCGAAGGCGCCUAACUAGAACGGGUCUGACGGUGAGGGACGAAAGCCAGGGGAGCAAUCCGGAUUAGAUACCCGAGUAGUCCUGGCUGUAAACGCUGUGAACUAGGUGUUGCACAUUCUUCGUGAAUGUGCAGUGUCGAAGCGAAGGCAUUAAGUUCACCACCUGGGAAGUAUGGUCGCAAGACUGAAACUUAAAGGAAUUGGCGGGGGAGCACCACAAGGGGUGCGGCGUGCGGUUUAAUCUAAUUCAACACAGAAAAUUUCACCAGGGGCGACGGCAGGAUGAAAGUCAGUCUUAAGGGCUUACUUAACAAGCCGAGAGGUAGUGCAUGGCCGCCGUCAGCUCGUGCCGUGAGGUGUCCAGCUAAGUCUGGCAACGAGCGAGACCUGUAUCUACAAUUGCUAGCAGCCGGGUAACCGGGACUGAGCACAUUGUGGGGACUGCCUUGGAAACAAGGAGGAAGGUGCAGGCUACGGUAGGUCUGUAUGCUCCGAAUCCUCUGGGCUACACGCGCGCAACAAUGGUAGGGACAAUGGGAUACGACCCCGAAAGGGGAAGUUAAACCUCUAAACCCUAUCUUAGUCCAGAUUGAGGGCUGUAACUCGCCCUCAUGACGAUGGAAUCCCUAGUAAUCGGAAGUCAACAACUUCCGGUGAAUAUGUCCCUGCUCCUUGUACACACCGCCCGUCAAACCACUCGAGCAGAGUUUAGGUGAGACCCAGUUUCUUAAUUGGCUCGAACCUAAGCCCAGUAAGAUGGGUUAAGUCGUCACAAGGUA